rnacentral:rRNA from 1 species
UGGUAAAGCCGCGAAUGGCUCAUUACAACAGCCACAGUUUAUUGGGUCUCCAUUUACUUGGAUAACUGAGCUAAUUGUUGAGCUAAUACACGCACCAAAGCUUCGACCUCACGGGAGGAGCGCAUUUAUUAGAACAAAACCAAUCGGACUUCGGUCCGUCCAUUGGUGAAUCUAAAUAACUUAGCCGAUCGCAUGGUCUCGCACCGGCGACUCACCUUUCAAAUGUCUGCCUUAUCACCUUUCGAUGGUAGUUUAUACGCCUACCAUGGGUUUUACGGGUAACGGAGAAUAAGGGUUCGACUCCGGAGAGGGAGCCUGAGAAACGGCUACCACAUCCAAGGAAGGCAGCAGGCACGCAAAUUACCCACUCCCGGCACGGGGAGGUAGUGACGAAAAAUAACGAGGCGGUUCUCUAUGAGGCCCGCCAUCGGAAUGGGUACAAUCUAAA